UGAGUUAAGUGAUCAUCUUAUAGCACCAUCCAAAUUAAAAUUAUAAGCAACAAGUGUUUGUGUGAAGCAACAGAAUAUGUUGCGCAAAUUGUGUAUAUUAGUGCUAUCAGCAUGUUUUGUUAAGUGCAGUUAUGAUGAAGGUCAUUACACCAUCGUUGCACCAAGAUACAUUCGAGCCAAUUCUGAGUACCAUGUCUCAGCUUCGGUACACGACGCAAUUGAGCCGAGAACCAUUCGAUUGACCGUGAAAAAUGAUCGAGGCUUCAGAGACUCGAAAGAAGUUACUGUUCCACCAUACACCACUAAAAUGGUGCAGUUCAGCACUGGUGACCUGCAACAGGGUAAUUAUUCAUUUGUCGCUGAAGGUGUG